rnacentral:lncRNA from 1 species
UUAAGUAUAGUCAUGUUAACUUAAAUUUGGAUGAAAAGAAUUUUUAUCCUCCAUAGAAAAAAGACAUGAGAAAUAAGGGUUCUCAUAAUAACUAUAACUAUUUUAUACCAUAACUAUAAAUAAGGGUUCUCAUAAUAGAGAAAAGACAUCAGAAAUUAUACCAAAAGAUAGAUGGAGUAUCUGGAUCAAAUGCUACGAGUUCUCUACGAAGAUCAUGGUUGAAUGUAAAUCAAAUACCAAGGCGUUUAAGAUCAUAUUUAGUUAAGGCAAAUCAAUUACCAAGGCAUUCAAGAUUAAAUUCUCGUCUGUGGGAUGCAUAUUGUUCGUGAUGGUCAUUAAGGUGUUUAUGAUGAAUCAAAUUCAGAUAAAGAUCAAUUCCAGACAUAAAUUUAAGGUCCAACUCAAAAGAUCCAUGAAUUUAUUUUAAAAAAGAAAAAGAAUUAAGAGAAUGCAGAGAAAUAGUAACAUUCACUGUAUAAAAAUUAAAUACAAUAGUUAUUGGGAUUUUCUAUCUUGAUUGUCAUUUUACCGAUGUAAAUUUUUUUAUCUACAAUACUGUGAUUUUUAUUCCAUUUUUGCGAAG